UCCUACGGGAGGCAGCAGUAAGGAAUAUUGGACAAUGGGCGCAAGCCUGAUCCAACCAUGCCGCGUGAAGGAUUAAGGUCCUCUGGAUUGUAAGCUUCUUUUAUAAGGGACGAAAAAAGGGAAUUCUUUCUCACUUGACGGUACCUUAUGAAUAAGCACCGGCUAACUCCGUGCCAGCAGCCGCGGUAAUACGGAGGGUGUAAGCGUUAUCCGGAUUCACUGGGUUUAAAGGGUGCGUAGGCGGGUAUUUAAGUCAGUGGUGAAAUCCUAGAGCUUAACUCUAGAACUGCCAUUGAUACUAUUUAUCUUGAAUAUUGUGGAGGUAAGCGGAAUAUGUCAUGUAGCGGUGAAAUGCUUAGAUAUGACAUAGAACACCUGUUGCGAAGGCAGCUUACUACGCAUAUAUUGACGCUGAGGCACGAAAGCGUGGGGAUCAAACAGGAUUAGAUACCCUGGUAGUCCACGCCCUAAACGAUGGAUACUCGACAUACGCGAUACACUGUGUGUGUCUGAGCGAAAGCAUUAAGUAUCCCACCUGGGAAGUACGACCGCAAGGUUGAAACUCAAAGGAAUUGGCGGGGGUCCGCACAAGCGGUGGAGCAUGUGGUUUAAUUCGAUG
rnacentral:rRNA from 1 species